ACUUGUUGGUGGUGCCAGCUGAAUAGGUUUGUUCCAUAUAGAAAUACUAGUUUUUCAACUUGAAUAUGACUUUUUAAAAUUCUUUCAAGUCAUUAUUUCAGAUAGAGAUGUGAUCUCUUUGACGUACAUGCUGCUGUAGUGGGAUGGAGAUGCACAUUUGGAAUAUGCCAGUUUAGGGCAAUUGCAUCAUUAUUGUGACAAGCUAUGGUAACAAGCUUGCUAUUGUAGCAUCAUUAAUAAUGUUUGCCACAAUAAUGUGCUUUAUUUAUGUGUAAACCUGGAACUGAGCUGGAACUGAAUGUCAUGCCAGGACUGAUAUGCAAGGCAACAAUCCCAGCCAAUAUGAUGUGCUGAAGAAGUUGCCUUUUGGUGAUUUAAUUUGUCUUGUAAGGGUUAUGUUCUUACAUGUAUUAGCAAGACUUUCAUGAUCUGACAGUUCUGAAAUGACUUUCUGAAUUACCUCCAUGGUAUCAUGAUAAAAUACUUGAAAAACAUUUUUGUUCCCCUCCUUUUUUUUUUUUUCUUUUUUCUCCACAUAUUAGUAACAAUGUAAGACUGAAGAUACAAAACUUAUGUGGUGUUUUUGUAUUUCAGUGUGAAACAUUGUGUGAAACGCACUAUCCAACGAAAUCACAUGCAGAAAAUAUUUUUUCUUAUUAAUAUGAACUCCAUAAAAGUGUCUGCCUUAUUCUUACACAGAUCAGUUUUCUUUUGAGUAUCCUGACUUUGUCAUACAGGGGAUUUGUGGAAAUAAACUUCUUAUUAACUAUUUGGCAUUGACCAUUACGCUACUAAUUGCAGGAGAGAGACAGUUGUCACUCCCAGGUAUAAAUGCAGCAUAACACCCCUAGAAAGAUCAUUUUUAUUAUUAUGUUAAAGGAAAAGGAAUACUUUUUUUUUUCAAUUACUCAUCACAUUUCCUUCUGUCUGUUCUAUCAGUGGAAAGUUUCUCUAUGCCUUCCUCUCAAUUUUUUUUUUUUUUAUUUUUUUUUCCAGUUUGUUUUGGUUGAAGAGGGAUUACAUGAAGUGAAUAAUGGAGAAUAUAGAAGUGAGCUGGAGGCUCAUGCAGGAACACAGCCAGACCAUGGCACACUCCUGUCCUCAGCCACUCAGCUGAAGGGAUUUGCUGCUUUCUACGAGGACAGCGACAUCAAGGUACCAUAGGCAUGAGCAACGUUUCGAGACGAUGAGCUAUAUUCAGUUGUGGUGGGUUAACCUUGGCUAAAGGCCAAAGUGCAACCCAACCACUCAAACAUUACCCUCCUCAACCAGACAAGGGGAUCAAGUAGGAUGAAAAAGCUCACAGUCAUGAAAGAAAGGGAGAUCACUUACUAAUUACCGUCACAGGAAAAAGCACUUGACUUGAGGAGAAUUAAUUUAAUUUAUUGCAAAUUAAAAAUUGAAUAGAAUGUCGAGAAAUUAAGAAAAAAAUAAAACUAAAUUCC
rnacentral:lncRNA from 1 species